GGCUCCAUAGUGUAGUGGUUAGCACGUCUGCUUUACAUGCAAAAGGUCCUGGGUUCGCGCCCCAGGUGGAGCUU
rnacentral:tRNA from 1 species